rnacentral:lncRNA from 1 species
UCAAACUCAUGAUGAUAAGAGAAUUAGUGUAAAAUACCAAAGCAGCUAAGCAGGAAGGCUGUUACGACCCAAAAUCCUAACAUGUCGUGAUGGCGCCUAUCUCAGUACUAGGCAAGACGACAACAUCAAUAACCCACGAUUUUCUUUAAAUUUAAAAACAUAACGUUUAAUACAAUACCAAAGAUCUAGAAAUUUCCGAUACAACACUCCCAAAAUCUGGUGUCACUGAGUACAUGAACAUCUAAUAUGAGUACAAGUCUGGAAAAUACAGUCUAUAAUAGUCUGAGACCAAAUACAGUAAACAAGGAGAUAGAGAAGGAGAGACAAGGUCUGCUGAACACGGCAGCUACCUCAAAAUCUCAUGAAAGUCAACUGCGCGAAAUGAUCAACACCCGCUAUGUUCAGGAACACCUGGAUCUGCACACGAAGUGCAGGGUGUAGUAUGAGUACAACCAACUCAGCAAAUAACAAUAAUAACUAAGGAACUGAAGAUAAUGACAAGCUACACAGUCAUAAUUCACUUUCAGUAGUUCCAGCAAAGAAUAGACAUGUUUUCAAAUCCGGCAGUUUAAGUCAAAUCAAUUUAUACAGUUCAAUUUCAAGUAAUUCGGAUGUAAAUUCUUUCAUAGAUUUCACAACAAUGACAGAUAGCAACCAAGUGCAACAACAAAUGCAAAGCAAGUACAGCCUCUCACGCAACAGUCACUCAGCUCAUCCCAACAGCUCAACCACUCGGCUUUCAGCCCUUAGCACUCACACUCAAUGGGUACCCGCACUCACUGGGGGUGUGUAUAGAUAACUCACGUGCUAUAAUAUCCUGCACAGAGAACUUACG